GGGAUGGUAGCUCAGAGGUAGAGCAACCGGCUGCAGUCCGGUAGGUCACGCGUUCAAUUCGCGUUCGUCCCU